CCCCGGGGCCAGCCCCCUACCCCGCCCCUAAUUCCCGCCUCACGCGGCACUGCCCAGGGGCCAGCCCCCCACCCAGCCCCUAAUUCCCGCCCGCCUCGCUGCCAUCCGGAACAGCACAUUCGGCGCAAGCCGCGUUAUGGACCCGGGGGGGCGCCGUCGUUGUUAACGUGAAGGCCUCGCGCCAGAGGCGGGUUCCUGUAGGUGCCGGGCUCAGGGAGGGCAGCCGCCCCUCCCCCACCUAUCCCCUAUGGCGUUGGCGCUGGGGGCCGGUGGAAUCGGCGCCUGCGGAAGUAAAGCGGAGCGGGCUGGAGGGGGAAGCCUGUGGUACUCACUGCCUGGAGCCCCGGGGGCCCCUGUACUCACUGCCGUCUGCCCAGUGUCUUCUCUUCCCGCCCUUCUGUGCUGCUGCCCCUUAACACCCCCCUCCUCCUCCUCCUUUCCCCCCUUUCCUUUGGGCGCAACACACACAGUCCAGUCCCGUGCCUGGGCGGCCCUCACACCCAACCCAGUCGUGGUAUUACACCCCCCCCACACACACACCCCUGCCGCGUGCGCGCGCACACACAAAUCCCUUGCACAUUGGGGAUGCUCCUGUAAUGGCAGCCCCCCACUCCCUAGGGAGGAGACCAGCUGCAGGCGUCCUGGGAGCGCUGGGGACACGGAGCUGCUCAGGCCCGCUGAUCUCCUGGAGUCUGUGAGUUUGUCAAUCGAUCCUACUGCCUUUUCCAUCGGGGGUACCCCUGACCCCCACAGAACAAUUUGGAAGAAAUUCCAUGAAAACUUGUGAUGUCGUCCCCUGUUGCUCCUAUUACUCAGCACACCACCCCCUUGGAAGAGGCUUUUGCUCUGCAAAGCUAGAAAUAGACAGGUAUCCAAGGUGUUGAGGGAGUUGGCCGAUGUGAUUGCGGAGCCAUUUUGAAGCACUUGGAGGAGAGGAAGGUGAUCAGGAACCGUCAACAUGGAUUCACCAAGAGGGGACCGGUUUGAAGACAUUUUCUUCAGACUUCAUUGAGAAAUUCCAAGUUGAGAGAAGCAGGGAUGUGAAUAGAGUCCAUGGUUAUGGAGGAUGGGCUGAACGGAAACAAAACUGGGAACAUAUAUUUGUAGUCUAACAGCAGCUGUGGAGGGUCAUUUCGCUCUUGCAAAUUUGCCUAUGAGGUUUGUGUGGAAAAAAUAAAAGUGUUUUGCCGUGAUCUUCCUUCAAGCAGUGAACAGGCCUCCCCGCUGGAGAUGCAUCCAUGAUGCUGCAUAAGUAGCCAGGGAGUUUGCAGCAGAGCAACACAAGUUGUAACUUCCCACAAAGUGAUGGAAAGUGCUGCCCAUUCAACUCCAGGAGUGAGAAAGUGGACCUGGACACUGAAUACGACUCUUGUGUAGCAGCAUACGCUACCAGCAACCUGCUUGUCCUUUUAUCCAGCACAUCAACAGGACUGAGAAGAAUGUUAAACACUAGCUACUGUUUUCCUACUUUCUCUUUUUGACAUUCAAGCAUGCUGAGUGGCAGUUGAUUGCUGUCUUCCAUCUCAGAAGUGGCUGCAUUUCAAUGAUGUCCUACAUUCCUGUAUCCUACUAGCCUUGCUUGCAGGACUAGUCUCAUUGAGAAAAUGAACGCUUGAGUGCCCAGAUACUAUACUGAUAAGUAGAACUGGGCAAUUUUUUUUUUUUUUUUGGUGAACAGAAAAUGAAAACAUUGCAAAUUUGACGUGAAAUUGCUAAAAAGUUUCAGCCAAAAUCUUUGUUUUCAGGAUUGAGAUGCCAUUCACAAAAUGGCUGGAGGAUGAGACAGUGAUAGUGCCUGCCUUGUAAAGUUUUGCUCAGCGCACUCUCCUAAGAUAUGGAAUAGGAGUCAGGUUCAAUUGCCCCCUCUAUCUGGUCUGAAGAAGGGAUUUAAACUUGGAUCUCACAUACAGCAGAAAAGUUCCCUUACUCCUGGGGCUAUUAGAUCAUCUGGAGUGGGUUUUUCUCAGUCUCUACUGUUGAAGUUGUUCCACUUUGUAUAACUAAUUAGUCAUUGAAGGUUGGGACAAAGACAGAGAGUGAGAAUGACCAGGGCCGCCCAGAGGAUUCGGGGGCCUGGGGCAAAGGGGGGGGAGCUGCAGCGCUUGUAUUCACUCGAUGGCGGUCUGUGUCCUCAGCGGC